rnacentral:lncRNA from 10 species
UCAUAACCGUUUUUCCCUCCAAACAACUCACCCUGUCACUCUCUUUAAAUUACUCAAUCAGAAUUAGUUUAGCCUGUACGGUCUAACCCUAGCCAAUAGGGGAAUGACAAAGCAGUAGGGACCAUGUGCAUAAGGAAAAAUAACCCCUUUCCCUCCUUUGUCCAGGUGUGCACUCACCAGUCCUCCAUCUGUAAGGGCAUACCCUUCUAUAGAAGUACCUUGCCCUGCUGAGAAUUAAAAAGAAAAUUUUAUAUUCGAGUGCUAUUUCUUUUGUGGCACCGAAACUUUACUUAUAACAAUUUGGGGGCUCAUCCGGGAUUACAUUCCCCUCCGGGGGUGGUCUCUGGUUCUCUCUUGUGAGGAGGUGCACCCCACCCCACUGUGGCGGCCUCAGGGGUGAGAAAUCAAGACCCACCCAGUGUGAAGAAUAACCUGAGCUCUCAGCUACAUGGAAAGAAACUGGCUAGCAACCUAGCUUAAAGCAUCCUCCAUAAGGGCCACACAAGUGUGUGCAUGGACCGAGGAAAAGACACCAUGGGAGCCGGUAAAGUAUUUCCUUGGUGGUUGGGAGCAAGGUACAUCUAAUUUCACCUCUUGAAGAUGGCUGACAUGGUCACUGAACUGAAGCUUUGUGGUGAAGAAACUAUUAAGCAAAUGGGGAGGAAGAGCCAUACAAUUUCACUUUAGUGAGGAGCUAAGAACUAAUUUUAUUCCAAAAUCAAACUCAUGCCAAAAACGGGCCAAUGCAAUCAUUUAGGGAUAAAGAACCUAGAGUUUCAGGCAUGAGUGGAAAUGUGCUGAGGGGUCCAGAACAUGCCACUCCAAAAAAACCCUCCUUGGCAUAAGGAUUGUUUUGAGCUGAAGGCAAUUGAGAAUCAACAGAUGCAGGAAAAAUUCUCUACCCUUUCUUUUGUGCCUAAAAGCAAUACAUAAACUUGUCUUUGUGAAAAUGACAUGAGUUUUUCCCUCUCCUGAACCAGGAUGAAGAGAGCUACCCUUAUCACCACAUAUGGAGAGCCAGCACCAAGAUGAGUCAGUAUAAAAAGACCUUACUAAAAUAACCCUUACUUUCAGUAGUUUCCUGAUAUAUUUGCUAGUCACUUUCCCACAAGUUAUCACCCCUAGAAGCCUAAAACCCUUCUCCUUUGUCUAGUCACUUCUUUAAAAUUUAUUGCCUUUUGUUAAAAUGGUAUGUAAUCUCUUAAGCCUAACUGCUUCUUUGUUUUUUUUUAUUUUUUUACUUCUUUUUUUUUAUGAAGCCCUUGUGCACACAAAAUUAAAAAUAUUAAUACUAUUUUUAUGCCUUUUCUCCUGUUAAUCUGACUUUUGUCAGUUUUGUUCACAGACUCCAGCCACUGAUCAAAAGAGGGUGGAGGAAAUGUUUUCCAACCCUACAAUGCACACUGUAUCUCUGUGCAGCAUACACCUCUGUACGACAAUUUCCCUUGUUGUUUGCCUGAAGACACAUGAGCUGCAACUCUGAAUCGGGAAAUAGAACUUCAAUCACUUUCGUGGAGCAAUUGGGGAAUGAAACAACCUUGCAUGCUCCUCUGAGGAGUAUGCCAUGAGAGCUCAGAGGCUACUAUUAUUGGCUGAACAUUGGUGUCAAAAUCUUGAUUGAUGUCCAAAUGCUUCUGGUCUCAUCCUAGACUUGUGAGGUUAAUUAUAUUCUAAAGCAUACCAAGCUCUUCGUGUUUGCUGCUGGAGUGACUGUGUGUUCCCUUGCCCUUAGAUGAAGAAAUGCUUUCAAAACCUCUGAAGAUGCCUGAAUGGUCUGAGCUUUAAACAAAAACCAGCCCUCCUGAAAGACUUACUUGACUGCUGAUUUCAACCAAUCACCUGACACUACCCCGGUUUGGUGGACAGCAACUGAUCAACAUUCCUUCCUGGCUGACACACAUAAUUCAUCACCUCCUUCAUCUUACUACAGUCAUUCAUUCAUUUACCAUGUCUUCCUGUGAGCUCCCUGAGAGCAGGUUCUGUGGUAGGUAAAUUUGUGUUCCCUCUGGCACUCAACUCAGGAACUUGACAUUGAAAGGUGCUUAAACAUAUUAUUGAAGAAAUGCAUUCAUCUAUUCAAGUCCUGUUUCCUAAGAACAUUUCAGUAAAGUCUAUUCUGUAAAAAUGUUCAUCUAUGGACAUGUAUAGAUAUUUGUUUGAUUAUAGCUAGGAGCCAGUAUUAGCAUUGAAGAUUUGUUCUUAUAGUGCAUGUUCUCAUAAAACCAAGUCUGGACACGAUCAGUUUCUGUCCUUGGCACAAUUGGAGAAAGAUCUUUGCUGCCACAAUUUCCUAAAUGCCUGUCUUGUUGUCCAAGCAUGAAAGGGUUUCCUUUGCCACAUCCUCACUUUGCACUUCUCAGAGUCAGGUUCUCUGUGUCCCUGGUGCUUAAAUCAUUUUAGGCUAAAGGAAAAUGAUAAUGAAGACACAUAUUCUCCCUCUCAUUCACUGCCUCUCUCUUCUGGUGGUUUCUAUCUUAAUGGAUUGAUAUAGUUUGGCUCUGUGUCCCCACUCAAAUCUCAUGUUGAAUUAUAAUUCCCAAUGCUGGGGGAAGGACAUAGUGGGGGGUGAUUGGAUCAUGGGGGUGAAAUUCCCCCCUGCUGUUCUCAUGAUAGUGAGUGAGUUCACACCAGAUCUGAUGGUUAAAAGUGUGUGGCACAUCCCCAUUUGCUGUCUAUCUCUCUCUCCUGCCACCAUGUAAAGAGGUGCAUUAGAUUAAAUGAAAUGAAAUAAUAUUUACUAACUACGUCCUCUUCACCUUUUGCCAUGAUUGUAAGAUUCCUGCGGCCUCCCAGUCAUGCUUCCUGUUAAGCCUGUGGAACUGUAGGUCAAUUAAACCUCUUUUCUUCAUGAAUUAUCCAGUCUCAGUAGUUCUCUAUAGCUGUGUGAGAACAGACUAAUACAUGGAUCUUAAUCCUAGAGAUGGACUCUUAAGCAUUGUCUUUUUUGGGACAGCACUGGAAUAAAAAUUUUCAGAUUUACAUGAGCCAAGAGAAGAGAGCAACGCUCUGAAUUAUCCUUGGGGAAACGGGGGAAGACAAAGUCUGCGGCACCCUGCAACUCACCCCGUAAGCUGUCGGCCUGCUGUAAAGACAUGUAGGGUGUUAAUUCCUUAUAUGACAAAACAAAUUUUGAUAAAUUUGAUUAGAAUUUUAUAUCUUGUGCUGUUUUCUAGGAUGCACAUGGGGAAGACGGACAUUUUUGUAAUUUUAGUAAAGUUCUGUAGGAUGAUGCACUGUGUAGCUAAAGGUGGUUGUUGUUGUGAUCUCAUGUUAUGGUUCUAGAUUUCCAGGUAGUAAUUUAAGUGUAGAGUAACAUAAUGGUGCCAGCCAUUCAUUUUAUGUUAAGUGUGCUUUUCCCACUCUCAUACCACAAAGGCAAUGUUAAAUAAUUACAGAGAAUUGAUUAUGAGGCCAAGAAAAUGAAAGGCUACUUUUGAAUGAUGCUUUAAUACAACUUAAAAGUUAAAUGUGAAGGAAACAGAUAGACUUCUAGAUUCAUUCAGAGCCCAAGGCCCUGUUACUUCUAAAAUCACAGAGUUAAUAAUCUCAACUUGGGGAGACUGAUUUGCUGUUAAAGAUCAUGCAAAGAGUGAGGCUAGUGAAUAUUAGUGAUUCUAGAAAAGUGAUUCUCAAAUAUUUUAUUACGUUGCGGCUAACAAAAUUGUUAAGGAGAGACCUGAGUAGAGAGACUCCUGAGUGUAACACUUAGUACCCUGAAAGUGUAAGAUUUGGACUCCAUUUUAUGAACAUUUUAAUCCACGUGAUCAUUGUUUUGAUUGAAAUGUCUAUAUAAUUGAGCCUGGUCUUAACAUUUCCUUAAAUAUUCACCAUUAGAAGUAAUCUUCUGUGAAAAAAAAAAAAAAGGAUCUCUUAGUUGGCUGAUCUUGGCUUGCUCAUUUUAAUACUAGGAAAAUGAUGUUAAUUUUUUUAAGAAAGACUUAAUGGUGCCAUGAUUAAGGGUGAUGGUUACUGGUGCUUAAAAAAAACUUCCCUCCCCAAUUUUAUGAUAUUUGUGCAUUUUAGAAAUUUUUGGAUAUCUUUUAAGGAAAGCACUGAGCAUGUCACAGAUAACCUCUGUUGAUAUUUUUACGUAAACCUUUCUUUUUACUGUGCUUACGACAUUUUUAAUAAAAUAAGAUCACAUUGUGCAAAGUAAAUAUGGAGUCCUUUGUAAUCUGUAUUAUUUUAAAACUGAAGUAUUAAAGAUUAUUCCAUUCCACUUAAUAUUAUUUUUCUGCAUCAGGCAUUUGAACAUGUGGUCUGUGACCCCACAUAAGGAGGUGAUGGCAGUGAUGCCACCGCCCAUCAGGAAGGCAGCUGCAGCCUCACACCCAACAGCAUUGAACCUUAAGGUCAUGGCUGGGAAUGUAGACCCGUCCAAUGUUCUCAAUUUGUUUUCCAGUGAGGGCUCUAGGACGAAAUCCUCUUUCAUGAGUCAUGUGAAAGAUGAAACGUGUGGCACUGAGUUUUGCAUUCAAAAUAAAAAGAAUAGACUAUUCUAACAUCUGUUACGUUGCUGUUUUGCUUAUUCUUGUGGAACUUAAGAACAAAGUGAAAACACCUAUUGGUUAGUUGCUUUCAAAUAAAAUGUAUUCAUCGCUAAUUUGUCCUUGUGAAAGGGUGCCCAUUCCUAAUGCAGGUGCACUGGCCGUGUGCACUCCAUGGUCCCAGCAGCUCUCGCUCCCUGGACUCCCGCCGUAGUGAGCGUUUACUAAGGACCUGUUGAUCUGGAAAGACAAACCCAACCCAAAGGAGAUUAAGUUUUACUCCUUUUGCUUCUUUUUAGGGUAUCGUGCAGCAGUUUUUGGUGUUACUGACGACCAGCUCUGACGAGAGUCUUCGGUUUCUUAGCUUCAGGCUGGACUUCAACGAGCAUUACAAAGCCAGGGAGCCCAGGCUCCGCGUGUCUCUGGGUACCAGGGGGCGGCGCAGCUCCCACACGUGAAGCUCGCGGUCCUCCCAGGGAGCUGCGGGUGAUGUUCGUUGCACUGCUAGACACGAAAUUCCCAUUGACGUCCUGCAGGAACUGCAUGCUGCAGGUGUCCUGCCCUUCCGCCCACGAGUGCGCCAUGUUUCAGCGGAGCGGCGUGUGGGAGAAGCCACGUCGUGUUGCACACGUCGGAGUUGAAUGCAUUUGUAAAUCACUAAGUCAAGUAGGCUGGCUGCACUGUUCACAUUUGUCUCUAAAAGUCUUCAUCCCCAAAAGAUACCAUAAUUUGCUGAGGCUUCUGAAUCUUAAGUGCUCUAAGUUAUAACUUAUAUUUGUCACUUUAAAAGAACUGUUUGUUUAGCAAAAUCUACAGCAAGGGUAUAUUUAUAAAGUGAUAAUGUCAUUGCUGUUAUUUAGCAUCCUCUUCAGAAACUUUUUUUUGCAAUAUUAUUAGAUUAAACUGAAAUACAUAGAAAAUAUAGAGAGCAUUUUAUUAUCUUGGUAUUCAAGGUUGUAAAGUGUGAAAAUUUUUGUAUCUUACAUAUAUCUAUUCUUUUCUCUCUCCUUUCAAGGUUUACACUUACAGAUUUAAUUUACUAUUCUAGAUAACUUCUAAAAUAGUACAGAACACGAGUAGGAGUGUUGUGGAACAAAAACAUCCUUAAACUUAAAUUUCUUGACGCCACCAGCUGAAGCAGUGUGGCAACAGGAAUGACUAGAAAGUUAACAAAGUAUUUUAUUUUUACAAUUUUGAUGAGCAUUAUAAAGAAAUCGAUUUGGAUAAUGAAGGUUUCUUUUUUCUUUGACUAAUUUUUCCUUGUAAAUAUUUAUAUACUAUUGACCAGAUGCUGGGGAGAACGGUGUCUGUAAAAAGUCACGUCAUAUCAGCUUGCCUUUAUUAUGCUGUAUAAGUGAAAACUUAGAAAACUGAAAGCAAUUAUCUUUCAAAGCAUUGGCUGUUUUUUGAAUAGUCUAUUAAGUGACAGUUCAUUUGCCAGGGGGGCGGGGAUUGACAGGAUUUGAUUUAAUGUAGUACAGCAUAUGAAUUAUUUAAUCAUAAUUAGAAACCAAGAAAUUAGAUUUUGUGUGACUUUCGGUGUAGAAGCAAACGCAAUGUCACCACUCAGGUCUCAGGAGCGGUGCUUUAGUUAUCUGAAUCUGCCUCUGACUCCUUUAGGUGUGGAUUCCCUUUAAAACUAAAGGGGCCAUCAAGAAUCCUGGCCAUGCAGAAAUGAUUCCAUGGCAAAGGCCAGAAAUUCUUAGGAUAAAAACUUAAUUUAAUUUUAGUUUUCAAGUUCAUAAAAUCAGAAAUUUGAAACAGAUUUCUCCACUGCAAGUUGUCCUAGAAAUUAUGGCGUAUUGUGUAUCUCCGAGAGAGGUUUACCAAGGUUAUUAACCAUGCAGCCAGCUUUUAUUUUAUUUUAUUCAGAGAGUUGUUCCAGGGAUUAAUCCUCGGUAGAAACCACCCUAGCAAAGGCCCACCUCGAUUUUAGGGAUUACGACUCCAUUGGAGUGUAGGAGUCACCAGGACUUAGGUCAGAUCUGUGGGCUAUGGAGGGCUUCCGGGAGGUGCGGCCCUGGGGGGUGCCUGCGGGUCUGGAGGGUGGGAGCUGGGAUGGGGUGAGGCCUCUGAGGAGCUGCGUGAGACCCACUCUCCGUCAUUGUGGGUGCACAAUCAGGCCCCUUAGGGAGCCAGGGCCCCAAAACCCAGCAUCAGCCAAGCAUGGAUGACUUGGGGGUUCCACACUGGGGUUGUGCGUAAAGGAGAGCUCCUCUCAGGGGUGGGUGCGCCCGGCCCGGGGGUGCCACGUCUUCACCCAGAAAACGAGGCCGAGUCUGCAGGGGCCCUGCUGCAUGGAUGGAGGUGUGGGUGGUUGGUAGGACCCCAGGC